AGCUUGAAUGACAUGAAGACCACUUACAUUGCACUGAGGGUUGAGAUUUCUCACACAACUCUGAGCAAGUGUCCUGGAAAAUGCCUAUAUUGGUGCCAAAGCUCUUAGAGAUUGAAGUGACGAAAUGCAAAAACUUCAGAAACUUACCGAUGGAUCAUCGCCUCCAAUUUCUGGAAGAGUAGUCUCCCGUUUGGCUCUGUUUGAUGAUAGAACAAGUACAUUAAAAUUUGCAUUGAUCUGUUGGA